rnacentral:lncRNA from 1 species
AGUCUCCAUAAUCUAAUCUCCAGAAUGCACUAAACCAGGAGAAGAUCCACCUGGAAUGGAAGAAUAUUAAGGAGAACAAGUCCUCAUCUCUCCAAAGACCCUUCAUCCUUCAUUUCACAAUAGUCUUUAUUGGUCUGCUGGAGUUUGCUGGAGGUCCACUCCAGACCCUGUUUGCCUGGGUAUCACCGGCAGAGGCUGCAGAGCAGCAAAGAUUGCUGCCUGCUCCUUCCUCUGGAAGCUUCAUCCCAAAGGGGCACCCGCCUGAUGCCAGCCAGAGCUCUCCUGUACGAGAGAUGCCCUGCCCAGUGAGGAGGAAUCUAGAGAAGCAGUCUGGCCAUAGCUUUGCUGCACUGCGCACUUCUCCUUGCUGCCGCCAUGUGAAGAAGAAUGUGUUUGCUUCCCCUUCCGCCAUGAUUGUCAUGACAUUUUGAGCACAAUUGUGUGUGGGAUGCAUUCAUCAAUAGAGCUGGAAGCACCAACCACCAUAGGAGAGGAAACUUUUAGUUACAAGCACAUGAAUAAAUAAAAUCAAACUCAACUGGAAUGACGUUCCUGAGGAUGGAGAUACAUUUUUUUGUUGACCCAUCUAAACUUGAACAGCAAGUGAUAAUCAGUCUCCAAUCAGAAAGUCCCAGGACUUAUAGGAGCAGAAAUCAGAAGACUUUACUCCACACACUUCAGGUGGACAUGUGGACAAAGCCAUCGGAGAACAUGACAAAAAUACAGCAAGAGCAGAGACAAGAUCAGAUCAUCCUGGGGGCAGAUGCUGGGCUCUGACCAAUUUGAGAGAGAAAAGGAAAAAGAACCCAGCUACAAGAUGCACAAGUAGCAGGCCACAGCCACCAACAUCAGCAGAGCAAUUGGAGGCCAGGAAGACAAGGACACUUCUGAAGAGACUGAAAAAAGCAGAAGACAGUCCAAGUCACUGCAAGGUUCCAAGGUCUCUUUUUUCAUUACUGUUACAAGUACCAAGUAAGCCAAAAUCCACCCUACUCUUCAAAACCAUCUUGAAGAGUUGCAGGUCAGGGUUGCUGCAUCUGAGCAUGUUUACUCACAAAAGGUGACAGAUGCUCCUCAACUUACAAUGAGAUUACAUCCUGAUAAAUGUGUCAUAAGUUGAAAGUAUCUUAUAAGUCGAAAAUGCAUUUACUACAGCCUAACCCACUGAACAUUGUAGCUUAGGCUAGCCUACCUUAAAACGUGAUCAGGACACUUCCCUCAGCCUACAUUUGGGCAAAAUCACCUAACACGAAGCCUAUUUUAUAAUAGAGCAUUGAAUAGCUCAAAUAAUUUAUUGAAUACUGUACAUUACAUAGAAUUUGUGACAGUUUUACACCAUCAUUAUGUCAAAAAAUCAUUAAGUUGAGCCACCAUAACUCAGGGACUGUCUGUAUUUAUAUUUUUACUUCACACUAAGCUUUGAAACUGAAAUUUUUGCUCCUCAGCAGAUGGGGUUUCUGAGAAAGACCAAAUUAGUUAUAGAGCACUAGCUCCCAAAAAAAAAAAAAAAAAAAAACAGAAGAAGUCAGAGGAGGAGGGCAACAUGGAGCAGAGGAAGAAGGAGAGAAAAAGCAAGAAACCAUUAUCGCUCCCUCAUCUGAACUGCACUGCGAGUAAGCUGGGGCUUCCACCACAGUGUCCUGGAAGCCAUGUUUGCUGCCCAUUUCUGGACUCUCCAGCCACACUGGCCUCCUUUCCCUUUCUCAAACCUGCUGUGGUUCCUGCCACUUCAAGAUAAUCUCUUAACAAUCUAUUCCUUCUGCCUGGAAUGCUCUUCCUCCCACCCAACCCCGCUCUGCCCAGCUAACUCCAUUCUUUGGCCCCUGCAUCACUUUCCCAAGGAAGCCAUUUCUGGACUUCCCUGACCCCUGCCUUCCAUCUUCACUGGCCCAGAGUUCCCUACCCUAUGGUCUCAUUGCUCCCUCCCAGGCACUGCUGCCUCCCAGGACUCUUCCCUGUCGGUAAUAUAGUUCUGUUUGAUUGUUCAGUUAAUUUUGCCUCCCCUGAAGACCAUAAGCCAUGUUGGCAAUGAUGGUUUUGCUCACCAUUGCACCUCCAGUGUCUAAAAACCAUGGGCAGGUCAAUUCAUUUUUGUUGAGUAAAGGAAUUGUUCAAUAAGUGCACAAAUAAAUUCACAUUAAAACUUGUCCAAAAACAAAGGAGUUUUCUUGUGAGAAGCAGCUGCUCAUUCUGGGGCAUUCAAGUGCAGUGAGAUGACAACGAUGACCAUUGGAGAUGCUUUCAAAGUGAUGCCGGCACUAGACAGAUGGCUGGAGUGUGUACCCUUUAAGGACUCACCUAUCUCAGAAGUCAUGUGUGUUUCUGUAUGUGUAAAUGCACAAACAGACUGGAAGGAUAUGUGUUCAGCGUCUUUUCAGACUGUGAAGGUCCCUGCAACCAGAAGGAGAGCUGUCUUCAGGAAAGGAUGAAGGGAACGAGCAUCUGUCUGUGACUCUGGUGGUUGUGCAGGCAGGUCACCUCAAGGUGGAGUGACACUGUGGUGGGACAGGUGGAGCACCAGUGAGGAAGCUCUCAUGGGCCUGAGCCAACUGAAUUAAUUAAGACCAAGAACAGUAAAGGGACCCAGAGGGCAAACUCUGAGAGGCAGUCAUAAGCAGCACCCUCUCCCCAAACUGUAUUACUCAUUCCCACAGAAGUGUGUGUCUGCUUGCCUUUAAUCUGUUCUGACUGUAAGCCAUUUUGAGACAUCCCAGUCCCAAUGAUGGCCACCAUGUUCUGCAUUGAAUAGAUGCUUGACAUACAUCCAAUUAGUAAAAGCGAGUGAACU